GGGCCCGCACAAGCAGCGGAGCAUGUGGUUUAAUUCGAAGCAACGCGAAGAACCUUACCAGGUCUUGACAUCCAUCUAAAGCUGCGGAGACGCAGUGUGAGCAAGCUCGAGAUGAGACAGGUGGUGCAUGGUUGUCGUCAGCUCGUGUCGUGAGAUGUUGGGUUAAGUCCCGCAACGAGCGCAACCCUUGCCGGUAGUUACUAACGGGAAGAGCCGAGGACUUUACCGGGACCGCCGGGGACAACUCGGAGGAAGGUGGGGACGACGUCAAAUCAUCAUGCCCCUUAUGACCUGGGCUACACACGUGCUACAAUGGCCGAGACAGAGGGCGGCGAAGGCGCGAGCCGGAGCGAAUCUCAAAAAAGCGGUCACAGUUCGGAUUGCGGGCUGCAACCCGCCCGCAUGAAGCAGGAGUUGCUAGUAAUCGCGAAUCAGCAUGUCGCGGUGAAUACGUUCCCGGGCCUU
rnacentral:rRNA from 1 species